UCUCGACAACCGGGGGAAUUGAUGCAGGUGCACUACCUUGGACCGACCCAAACCCGUUUGAGAAUCCAAGCAGAGAUGAACCAGAUCCAAUUUGGGUUUUUGGCUAGUAGGAUAUUUUAGGAUUUUUAUUUAUUUCUAUAUUGGGAAUUAACAUGCAAUCUUUUAUUUUGCUAGCUUAAAUAGGAGAUAGCUACUAGGAUUUAUUUUUCUAAUUAAAUUGAGUUUCCAAAUUAGAGUAGGUUUCCUUUUCGUGUUGGAUUUCUUUUUUAUUUAAGUACAUGUAACUGUGCAAUUAGAAAUCAGAUUGAAUACAAUGGAAUAGUUGAAUUGGAUUGUGUGGUGCAUGUCUGCAUUGGCUGUGGAUCGCAGC